GUAAAAUUAUCCCCUGUCUGGAGGUGUCUGUGUAAAAGUAAUAGCUGGGGCACAGUGGUUGUGUCAGAAUGCAUCAGAAAUUCAAAUUGCCUUCCAUAAGACACUGAGUGUCAGUGUUGGCUUUUCACUGCAUCUGCAGCACUCUCGUGGCAGUGACUGAGACGUUGCCUUCACCAGAGGCCAUGUCAUUACCCUAAAUAAACUUAACUGGAAACUGCAGUGUCCCAAAAACAAAGUGAAGUCCAUCUGGAUCUCUCUCACUAAUGCCCUUUGCAGCUGUGCCUGAGCAGUGAAGCACGAAGGAGGAAAACCUCGAGUGCUGGGAAAAACUCCAAAGGUCUGGAUUGAGGAGAAGAGAUGCAAUGCCCAUACAUGGGGGUAAAAAAGCAGGAGAGACUGAUUGGGAAUUACACGUUCAGCCUACAGCCAUUAAAGGGAAACACCAGAAUUUUCUCUGCAACCAGCACACAAAGAGCAAGAUGACUUUUUUGGUGGAUCUGCAGUGGGACACAGCUGCAGAGCGCAUCCAGCCAGGUUGA
rnacentral:lncRNA from 1 species